rnacentral:rRNA from 1 species
AUUGAACGCUGGCGGCAGGCCUAACACAUGCAAGUCGAACGAGUGGCGGACGGGUGAGUAAUGUCUGGGAAACUGCCUGAUGGAGGGGGAUAACUACUGGAAACGGUAGCUAAUACCGCAUACCAUCGGAUGUGCCCAGAUGGGAUUAGCUAGUAGGUGGGGUAACGGCUCACCUCGGCGACGAGCCCUAGCUGGUCUGAGAGGAUGACCAGCCACACUGGAACGGAGACACGGUCCAGACGCCUACGGGAGGCAGCAGUGGGGAAUAUUGCACAAUCGGGGAAACCCUGAUGCAGCAACGCCGCGUGCGGGAUGACGGCCUUCGGGUUGUAACCCGCUUUCAGCCAUGACGCGGUAGUGGCAGAAGAGGCACCGGCUAACUACGUGCCAGCCGCCGCGGUAAUAC